CGAUCGAAAACCCGACAGUUAAAUGUGCCACAUUAAGCCAAAUAUACACCAUCGGCAUCUGGAGGCAUUGCAACAACAGAACUAAAAUCAGCAACCCAAACAAAUAGAAAUCUAUAUGGGCAUACAAUGGUUGCCAACCAUCAAAAAUGACAAUAGUGGACUUUGAAUAUUACUGUCAAAAGGAUUGGUCCUGCGGAAAUGGCGUUAAACAUACCUUGUGCAAAAAUGAGACGAAAUUUGGUAAAGCAUGCAGAGAGAAGCCUGAAUGUAUGAUAUUGAGUGAUGAUUAUCGAGAAUUUAUUCUUAAAUUCGUCAAUAACGCACGCAGUGGUGAAGAAAUUGGACCAUUCAAAGGUGUGAAGGCUGCUAAAAUGAUAGAAACUACAUGGAGUGACGAAGAUGAAAUGAUUGCAAUGAAUCAUGCGGUUGGAUGUCUACUGAAACAUGAUGUAUGCCGUCGAACGGCAUUUAAAAAAUUUGCUGGCCAAAAUCUUGGUUUAGUAUGCCAAAGUGGCGCUCAUUAUACAGUCGGAGAAGUGAUUAAUAAAGUUGUCGAAAAUGGUUGGCGUGUGCUGAACGCAACAAAUAUCCUCCAAACACAGC